rnacentral:rRNA from 1 species
GAUGAACGCUGGCGGCGUGCCUAACACAUGCAAGUCGAGCGGACUGACUCAGUGGAAGCCUUCGGGUGGAAACUGAUGAAGUUAGCGGCGGACGGGUGAGUAACGCGUGGGCAACCUGCCCUGUGCAGGGGGAUAACAUGCCGAAAGGCAUGCUAAUACCCCAUAAGACUAAAAUGUCGCAUGACAGAUUAGUCAAAGAUUUAUCGGCACAGGAUGGGCCCGCGUCUGAUUAGCUAGUUGGUAGGGUAACGGCCUACCAAGGCAACGAUCAGUAGCCGACCUGAGAGGGUGAUCGGCCACACUGGAACUGAGACACGGUCCAGACUCCUACGGGAGGCAGCAGUGGGGAAUAUUGCACAAUGGGGGAAACCCUGAUGCAGCAACGCCGCGUGAGCGAAGAAGGCUUUCGAGUCGUAAAGCUCUGUCCUAAGGGAAGAAUAAUGACGGUACCUUAGGAGGAAGCCCCGGCUAACUACGUGCCAGCAGCCGCCGUAAAAC